rnacentral:rRNA from 1 species
GACGAACGCUGGCGGCGUGCUUAACACAUGCAAGUCGAACGGAAAGGCCUCUUUCGGGGGGUACUCGAGUGGCGAACGGGUGAGUAACACGUGAGUAACCUGCCCUUGACUUUGGGAUAACUUCAGGAAACUGGGGCUAAUACCGGAUAGGAGCUCCUGCUGCAUGGUGGGGGUUGGAAAGUUUCGGCGGUUGGGGAUGGACUCGCGGCUUAUCAGCUUGUUGGUGGGGUAGUGGCUUACCAAGGCUUUGACGGGUAGCCGGCCUGAGAGGGUGACCGGCCACAUUGGGACUGAGAUACGGCCCAGACUCCUACGGGAGGCAGCAGUGGGGAAUAUUGCACAAUGGGUGGAAGCCUGAUGCAGCAACGCCGUGUGCGGGAUGACGGCCUUCGGGUUGUAAACCGCUUUCGCCCAUGACGAAGCUUUGUGUGACGGUAGUGGGUAAAGAAGCACCGGCUAACUACGUG